rnacentral:rRNA from 2 species
UACGAAGGGUGCAAGCGUUACUCGGAAUUACUGGGCGUAAAGCGUGCGUAGGCGGUUUGUUAAGUCUGAUGUGAAAUCCCCGGGCUCAACCUGGGACCUGCAUUGGAAACUGGCGAGCUAGAGUACGGUAGAGGGUGGUGGAAUUCCCGGUGUAGCAGUGAAAUGCGUAGAGAUCGGGAGGAACACUCGUGGCGAAGGCGGCCACCUGGACCAGUACUGACGCUGAGGCACGAAAGCGUGGGGAGCAAACAGG